GAGGAGUUCCUUUAAAAAGGUAGAGAACAUCACCAUGUUGGGACUGGGCAUGGAGGAGUUCCUUUAAAAAGGUAGAGAACAUCACCAUGUUGGGACUGGGCAUGGAGGAGUUCCUUUAAAAAGGUAGAGAACAUCACCAUGUUGGGACUGGGCAUGGAGGAGUUCCUU